UUUCAGCUCUGCCCAGGGUGGUCACAACUUGUCUAAGAUCAGUCUGCUCACCUUGGCUGGAGCUCCUUUGGAUUUAGACCCUGAUCUGUUUGGACUGGCUCCUCUUGGACCUACCUUCUUCUAGCAGCCUUGUUGGCCAUCACUGGUCUGUCCAACCCUGGUUUCCACCCUUGGGCUCAUUUCUGGCUCAUGUUCUUGCCUUCACUUGGGGCUUCCUUGCUGCUGUGGGUCUGCCUGAGAACUUGGAUUCUUGGCCGCUACUCUGCUUGGAUGCUGUGGGAAGAGUCCUGGUCACCAAGGUCUAGGUCUGAUGCCCAUGGAAGGGGCCAUGUAUGGGCCACCUCCUCCUUGCUACUCACCAACAUUGCCCCAUGCAAGCCCAGCUGGAGAUGCAAGAGGGAGGACUAGAACAAGGCAGCAUCUAAUAAAAUGAAGAAGAAAAAUGAGUCUGUAAGCUUAAAAUUGUUCCAAUUCAAAACUAAUCAAAGACGAAUCGCAGGAUUCUGACUUCAUCCUGUGCAAAUACAGCAGAGGAAGGAAAGAGGCCAAGGACGGAUUGAGAGAACAGAUGCAGAGCCUCACCUUGGGARAAAACAGUCUUGCCAGGCUGGAAACUUUCCUUAAGAACGUGGCAACUUCAGUAAAAUUUAAUUAUGAAAGAAAACUAAAAAUGAGACAUUUCAAAAAAUGUCAAAACAUUUCAUUUCUGGAAGAGAACUUUUGUUUUAUCCAAGUGUGUUAAACUUCAUGCUCCGUAUUUUAAGACGUACUGAAAUCAAAUGUCUCUUUGACUCAAAAUACUUGAUGCUGGUUUCGUAGGGAAGUUGUGAGCCUCAAACUUAGAGGACUGGAGUUAAAAACUGUUUGCUGUGGAAGAUUUCAGCGUCUUGAGCAAGACGUGGAGAAUGGGAUGUAUUACCCUUACAUGAGCCUU